UACGUAGGGCGCAAGCGUUAUCCGGAAUUAUUGGGCGUAAAGAGCUCGUAGGCGGUUUGUCGCGUCUGCCGUGAAAGUCCGGGGCUCAACUCCGGAUCUGCGGUGGGUACGGGCAGACUAGAGUGAUGUAGGGGAGACUGGAAUUCCUGGUGUAGCGGUGAAAUGCGCAGAUAUCAGGAGGAACACCGAUGGCGAAGGCGGCACUCUGGGCCGGUACUGACGCUGAGGAGCGAAAGCGUGGGGAGCGAACAGG
rnacentral:rRNA from 1 species